UACGUAGGGGGCAAGCGUUGUCCGGAUUUAUUGGGCGUAAAGAGCGUGUAGGCGGCCAGGUAGGUCCGUUGUGAAAGUCAGGGGCUCAACCCUUGAAUGCCGGCGGAUACUGUCGGGCUAGAGUCCGGAAGAGGCGAGUGGAAUUCCCGGUGUAGCGGUGAAAUGCGCAGAUAUCGGGAGGAACACCUAUGGCGAAGGCAGCUCGCUGGGACGGUACUGACGCUGAGACGCGAAAGCGUGGGGAGCAAACAGG
rnacentral:rRNA from 1 species